GCCUUCGCCAGCGUGGUGGACAUCAAGCUGCUCCUGCGCAUCUGGGACCUGUUUUUCUACGAGGGCUCCCGGGUGCUGUUCCAGCUCACGCUGGGCAUGCUGCACCUCAAGGAGGAAGAGCUGAUCCAGUCAGAGAACUCGGCCUCCAUCUUCAACACGCUAUCGGAUAUCCCGUCGCAGAUGGAGGACGCGGAGCUGCUUCUGGGGGUGGCCAUGCGGCUGGCCGGCUCCCUCACCGAUGUGGCCGUGGAGACUCAGCGCCGCAAGCACCUGGCCUAUCUCAUUGCAGACCAGGGCCAGCUCCUGGGGGCCGGCACCCUCACCAACCUCUCUCAGGUUGUUCGCCGCAGGACCCAGCGGAGGAAGUCCACCAUCACUGCUCUGCUCUUUGGGGAGGAUGACCUGGAGGCACUCAAGGCCAAGAACAUCAAGCAGACGGAACUGGUGGCUGACCUCCGGGAAGCCAUCCUGCGCGUGGCACGCCACUUCCAGUGCACAGACCCCAAAAACUGCAGCGUGGUGAGUCGCCAGCUCCCUGGGCUGCUACCAAACAUGGCCCUAACUCCUCCAACCCCCUUGGUGGGCCUGUUUUCACUGUGGCAGGAGCUGACUCCAGACUACAGCAUGGAGAGCCACCAGCGGGACCACGAGAACUACGUGGCAUGCUCACGCAGCCACCGGCGCCGAGCCAAGGCCCUGCUGGACUUUGAGCGGCACGACGACGACGAGCUGGGCUUCCGCAAGAACGACAUCAUCACAAUCGUGUCUCAGAAGGACGAGCACUGCUGGGUGGGGGAGCUCAACGGCCUGCGAGGCUGGUUUCCAGCCAAGUUCGUGGAAGUCCUGGAUGAGCGCAGCAAAGAGUACUCCAUCGCGGGGGAUGACUCGGUGACGGAGGGGGUCACAGACCUCGUGCGAGGGACCCUCUGCCCGGCCCUUAAGGCCCUGUUCGAACAUGGACUGAAGAAGCCAUCCCUGCUUGGGGGCGCCUGCCACC
rnacentral:sRNA from 1 species